AGAAAACGGGGGUUGGAGUCGUUUUUUUUUUUUUUUUUUUUUUUUUUUUUUUAAGGGAAAGGGGGGUGUUUAACAAAAAGAUUUAUGCGUGCGAGUUUCCUGUGUCUUUGUGGGUAGGAAUUUGAAGUUUGGAAUGCCAAGUGUUUGCGUUUGGUUGUGCAUGUGUCGCCGCGAAUGAUCCAGGCGUCAAGGGCGCCACUGACCUGGCCAUGAAUAUAAUUGAAGGUGAACGUCAAAGGAAUCUUCAGCAGUGAGAUCCUACCAAGUAAGUCGAUUUAUGGCCGUCUAUUACCGAAGAUGACGCUGCAUAAUUUCCGAUUGCAUGUCUUGUCUGGUUGAUCAAAUGAGACUGAGUUAUAUCAAGCGCAAGAUAAUGGUGGGGAGGGGGGGACAUUGUCAACCACGAAAUAAAGUAAUGAAAUGAUCACAGACACCCUGAAAAAUCCCGAAAUGGCAACUGCCCGGUAACUUCCUCACGCUCAUUCUUCGCUGCCCGUUCAGUUUACCUCUAAGACGCGGAGGUGAGGUAUAUCGUCUCCCGCCGCGCCAUGUGUGAAUAAGCCUCCCGCAGUCGAUGCCAAUACCAAACACCUUUCAAGAAACUCCAAAGAAACCAAAGACCAGGUAUUUUGGCUCACUACCUGAUGGACUCGCGAGGCAUUGACAUCACCCACCAGAAGCGGGAGUUGCGGCAAGUAAUUACCUGUCGUGUUGUGAGCCCCCAUCGCUCGGUCGUCGCGCGCCCUCGGGACAAACAGGGACACCAGCUGGACACGCAAGCCACACGCCAAGCCUACUGUCAACGUACAGAUGGUGCGGGUUGAGGAGACCGAUGGAAGAGAGAGUGUUGAAGAACUCGGGAGAGUUUUUGGAUCGAAGGGUAACCGUAUAAGGAGAAAAUUGAGUUGGUGUUUCUGUCAUUUAUUUUUCGCCCGCGGCCAUCUCUCUGGUUCAGCUGUGUCGACUACAAUUUGCCGUCCACUUAUCCCCCCGCACUGAACAGUUGCCACGUGGUACUGAGAAAAAAAAAAGAG